GCUUAUGGCCAUACCACCCUGAACACGCCUGCUCUUAUCUGAUCUUGGAAGCUAAGCAGCGUCAGUGCUUGGAUGGGAGACUGUCUGGGGAUACCAGGUGCUGUAAGCU
rnacentral:rRNA from 1 species